GAGGAGCGUCUCUGCCCUGUCGCCCGUCGUCUGAGAUGUGGGGAGCGCCUCUGCCCCGCGGCCCCGUCUGGGAUGUGAGGAGUGCCUCUGCCCCGGCUGUGACCCCGUCUGGGAACUGAGGAGUGUCUCUGCCAGACCGCCACCCCGUCUGGGAGGAGUCUAUAAAGCAUCAACUCAAAGUGACAAGAAGUGGAUACAUAUUCUAAGAGAGCUCCCCAGGACAAAAGGAAGAUGGAGGAAAUGGUCUCUGAAGGCUCAAAGCAGCUCCCCCUGCCCCGUGUAAAGCGCUGAUGAGAUGGCAAUUUAAACUGCUUUGAUGACCAGGUUUCAUUAGGU